rnacentral:rRNA from 1 species
GACGAACGCUGGCGGCGUGCUUAACACAUGCAAGUCGAGCGGUAAGGCCCUUUCGGGGGUACACGAGCGGCGAACGGGUGAGUAACACGUGGGUGACCUGCCCUCAGCUCUGGGAUAAGCCUGGGAAACCGGGUCUAAUACUGGAUAUGACUCCAUGACGCAUGUUGUGGGGUGGAAAGCCUUGUGCGGCUGAGGAUGGGCCCGCGGCCUAUCAGCUUGUUGGUGGGGUNAUGGCCUACCAAGGCGACGACGGGUAGCCGGCCUGAGAGGGCGACCGGCCACACUGGGACUGAGACACGGCCCAGACUCCUACGGGAGGCAGCAGUGGGGGAAUCUUGCGCAAUGGGCGAAAGCCUGACGCAGCGACGCCGCGUGA